AUGUAUCGGAGCUGCUUGAAUUGAAUCUCAGGUAGGAUCGUGAUCGGAGAGAGAGAGAGUCUGAAAAUUCCAGUGCGAAUCGGGAAUGUCUAGGGUUUCGAGAAAAUGGAUGGCGGAGGUAUAACAAUAACAUACAAGGGAGUCACUGUACACACUCCCAAGACGUGGCACGAUCUUUAUGUGGCUUUAUGUGGUUUUGGAUUGAAAAUUCUGGACAAUGGAUACGUCUUAAUUAGUAUCAUCGAGGCAAUCAAGCAGCUGUUAAUGUGAAAAUUAGGUUAUGUCUCCGGUCAGAACCAAUGUUGAGUUCAUUUAAAUAUUUUUUUUUCGUUCUGGAUUCUGUACAGAGCAAAGCAAGAUGGUCCUAUCGUCAUGGUACGACUCUCUUUUUUUUUUGCCUGUAGUCUGAUCGAAUCAUUAAAGUUCUUAUGCGGAGUUCGGUUAUCAAUAAAGAUUGAAAAAAACUUAUCAAAUGCUCGUGAUUGUGGUGAACAAAAAUAAAAAUAAAAUGCUCGUGAUUGUUUUUACGCGGAGUUCGGUUAUCAACCAAAUAUAUAGAAUUACUAUAGAUUACAGUUAAAUAAACAAAUAAGUUGGAACGAUUUCUUACUAUUCAAUCGUUCCAACUUCGUCUUAAACCGAGUGCAUGUAAUGCGGAUCUCUCUCUUCUACAAUCGUAUCUCAUUUUGUCAUUGAGUUUUCUUUGUAUAGCUUUAAUUCAUUGUCCAAAAAACUGCUUUGAUGUUUUUUUUUUUUGAUGGUUCAUGAAUACAGCUGAAUCUUCAAUUUUUGAUUAUAGAUCUGAAGUUAUCCAUCUUUUUUUUCUUUUCCUAUUCUAAGCUUCGUUUGCAUCACUGCUUCAGUUUGCAUAAUACACAAAGUGAGUAGUGUUUAAUGCUUCUAUUUACACGAAUCAGUUAACUUCUCAGUCGGGUCUUUCCCCGAGAGAUUCCACGUGUUGUCUUUGUUUUCCUGAUCAGAAACGCAAGCCUAAGCUCUACCUGAUGCACGCCGCUUCCAAGGAGCUGAAAAUUCGUGCUACUUCCAGCGUUUCUGAACUUCAAAAGUCUACUUCAAGUAGCGAUGUUAACAUGACGGCAGAGUUUGAGUUGGAGUUGCAAGAGUUGUUCAAUGAUGUCAAAUCCAUGGUUAAGAUUGGGGUGAGAGUGACGCAAUGGACCUUCUCCGAGCUAAUUACGUUGCUGUCAAAGAAGAGAUCGAUUCGGGCUUGAAAGGUGUCGAACAAGGUGCUCUUCUGGACAUAAUUGCCUUAGGGUUUAUGGCUGAGACUUAAACCUCUUCCUGCAUUGCUUGAUAUGAUAAAUAAGAUUGUUGAUAAGUUAAGGGACAACAAAGACGAGAUUGACAUGUCAUUUCUUGUUGCUACUCGCUGGAUAGUACCCGCUGAUGUUGCAGCUAGUGUUAUAGUGCUACUAAGCAUAUGGAGAAUCCGGCAGAGGAAUGCGUAGGAGGAGAAGAGCAUAUGGGAGGAGAAGAGCAUAUGGGUCGAAUCGUUUAGCCUAGCAUAUAGCCGUGUCUAGGACUAGUCGAUUUUGCGUGGUAGAGCUUCAGCUACCCUACCCGUUAGCUUUUUUUUACUGUCAUUUACACGACCACUGAAAUGUAAUUUCACUUUUACAUUUCUAGUAGGACUGGGAAUUUUGUUUCAAGAUAUCAGUUUUCGUAAACCUCAUUUUAUGAAUAGAAAAAUAAGUUUUGAGAAA